rnacentral:rRNA from 1 species
AUGAAUAGUUACCGCCGCUGUAAAGAUCUCGUGCCACCGCCUGUUAAUACAGCACCCCACCGAGGGCAUUUUCGUAAUUUUGCUACAUGGUAUAAAAGUGCAAGACCCAGGGUUUCUCCCCAAUCGGCUUCGUCCCUUCUUCCUGUUCACUCUGAGGGAGAGCCGCUGCCGCCCCCUCCCAUUCCAAACUCCUCUCUUCCCCGCCUCCCCUCGCCCUAUCGACCAUCCUCCCCGUCCGCCGCCACCACCGACCAGUCGCAGCCACGCUACCAUCCCCUCCCUGUUCCUCUCCCGUGGGAAGUCCUCCGAGAAGCAGCCCAAGGGCAGCCGCCUCCCGCUCGGUGGCCGAACGCCGGGAAGCGCCGCUGCUUUGGCUCCGCCAUCUCCUUCGCCCUGCCUGUCGGAUCCACGCCGUCGUCCUCGCGUGCACACGGCAGGUGCUCCGCCUCUUCCUCUUGUCCGGCCAGAUCCAUGGCGCACGGCCUCUCGCGCUCGCUCGCGACCCUGAACCGUGGCAAGGGUUUCAGGCUGGGCAUCGGCUUCGUCGUCGGCGUGGCUCCGGUGGAUUCCGGCGGCUCCUCUCCGUCUCCUCUCUCGCCCCCAUGCGCGGCUCCGCUUCCUGCUGGCCAUGGGGUGCAGCCUUGCAUCGUCCUCUUCUCCUUUUCCUUCUCUGGCAAAUUUUGUGUUGGUUCACUGCUCAAUUUCUUUGGUUAA